AACGAACGCUGGCGGCGUGCCUAACACAUGCAAGUCGUGCGAGAAAGUUCCUUCGGGAGCGAGUAAAGCGGCGCACGGGUGAGUAACACGUAGGUAACCUGCCCCCCAGUCUGGAACAACUAGAGGAAACUCUAGCUAAUGUCCGGAUGAGACCACGAUCCCUUCGGGGGUUGCGGCCAAAGAUGGCCUCUACUUGUAAGCUAUCGCUGAGGGAUGGGCCUGCGGGCCAUUAGCUUGUUGGUGAGGUUAACGGCUCACCAAGGCUGUGAUGGCUAGCUGGUCUGAGAGGAUGACCAGCCACACUGGGACUGAGACACGGCCCAGACUCCUACGGGAGGCAGCAGUGGGGAAUAUUGCGCAAUGGGCGAAAGCCUGACGCAGCGACGCCGCGUGGGUGAUGAAGGCCU
rnacentral:rRNA from 1 species